UUGCGGUUAAAAAGUUCGUAGUUGGACUCUGUCGAAGGCGAGGGGUCCAUCCUUUGGGUGUGCAUCUUUCUCGGCUUGGGCAUCAUCUUGAAAAACACUGCUGCAAUUGACUUUGUGGCGCGGCAUACAGGACGUUUACUUUGAGGAAAUUAGAGUGCUCCAAGCAGGCACAGGCCAACAUACACUAGCAUGGAAUAACAAAAAUGAACCUCGGAUCUAUUUUGUUGGUUUCUAGGGCUAAGGUUUUGACCAACAGGGACAGCUGGGGGCAUUCGUACUUAACUGUCAGAGGUGAAAUUCUUGGAUUUGUUAAAGACGGCCUACUGCGAAAGCAUUUGCCAAAUGUGUUUUCAUUGAUCAAGAACGAAAGUUAGGGGAUCGAAGACGAUCAGAUACCGUCCUAGUCUUAACCAUAAACAAUGCCGACUAGAAAUCGGAGGUCGUUAAUUGGACGACUCCUUCAGCACCUUUGGAGAAAUCAAAGUUUUUGGGUUCCGGGGGGAGUAUGGUCGCAAGGCUGAAACUUAAAGGAAUUGACGGAAGGGCACCACCAGGAGUGGAGCCUGCGGCUUAAUUUGACUCAACACGGGGAAAACUUACCAGGUCCAGACAUAGCCCAGGAUUGACAGAUUGACAGCUCUU
rnacentral:rRNA from 1 species